UGCUAAUACAGUUUUUGUUACCUUUAGAAAUCAUUUAUCGCCGCGGCCGGACAGCAAACUACUCUUUGGCAGGUACAUUAAGAAAAUGGGCAAAACAUGAGUCCUAACGUUAGUGGAAUGGAGGGAGGAACCAUCGACCUAUGACAUUAUUAAAAAGAACCUACUGAAAAAGAAAUUUGAACCUGGGGAUGUUGUGGAUGUUGCCUAUGAGGAUGAAAGUUCACCAGCCACAGUUCUAGACAUUAAAGAGAACAAAGAAACUCUCAGGAGGAGGAUUUUCAGAAGAGGGGAAUUUACAGACGUAGUACAGAAGAAGUUUCCAAACGUACCAAUAAAAUUUAUCAGGGCAGCACUCAGGGAAAAAGUAAAUGAU